rnacentral:rRNA from 1 species
UACGGAGGGGGCUAGCGUUGUUCGGAAUUACUGGGCGUAAAGCGCACGUAGCCGGCUUUGUAAGUUAGAGGUGAAAGCCCGGGGCUCAACUCCGGAACUGCCUUUAAGACUGCAUCGCUUGAAUCCAGGAGAGGUGAGUGGAAUUCCGAGUGUAGAGGUGAAAUUCGUAGAUAUUCGGAAGAACACCAGUGGCGAAGGCGGCUCACUGGACUGGUAUUGACGCUGAGGUGCGAAAGCGUGGGGAGCAAACAGG